ACUCCUACGGGAGGCAGCAGUGGGGAAUAUUGGACAAUGGGCGCAAGCCUGAUCCAGCAAUACCGCGUGUGUGAAGAAGGCCUUAGGGUUGUAAAGCACUUUCAAUUGGGAGGAAAACCUGUCGGUCAAUACCCGGCAGCUUGACAUUACCUUUAGAAGAAGCACCGGCUAACUCCGUGCCAGCAGCCGCGGUAAU
rnacentral:rRNA from 1 species